UACAUGGGGUGCAAACGUUGCUCGGAAUUAUUGGGCGUAAAGCGCACGUAGGCGGUUUGUUAAGUCGGAUGUGAAAUCCCUCGGCUCAACUGAGGAAGUGCAUCCGAAACUGGCAAGCUUGAGUACGAAAGAGGGUCGCGGAAUUCCCGGUGUAGAGGUAAAAUUCGUAGAUAUCGGGAGGAACACCGGUGGCGAAGGCAGUCCCCUGGGCCUGCACUGACACUCAUGCACGAAAGCGUGGGGAGCAAACAGG
rnacentral:rRNA from 1 species